rnacentral:rRNA from 1 species
GCAAGUCGAACGGUAGAGGGGGCAACCCCUUGAGAGUGGCGAACGGGUGAGUAAUGUAUCGGAACGUGCCCAGUCGUGGGGGAUAACGUAGUGAAAAUUACGCUAAUACCGCAUACGAUCUACGGAUGAAAGCGGGGGAUCGCAAGACCUCGCGCGAUUGGAGCGGCCGAUAUCAGAUUAGGUAGUUGGUGGGGUAAAGGCUCACCAAGCCAACGAUCUGUAGCUGGUCUGAGAGGACGACCAGCCACACUGGAACUGAGACACGGUCCAGACUCCUACGGGAGGCAGCAGUGGGGAAUUUUGGACAAUGGACGCAAGUCUGAUCCAGCCAUUCCGCGUGCAGGACGAAGGCCUUCGGGUUGUAAACUGCUUUUGUACGGAACGAAAAAGCUUUUAUUAAUACUAGGAGUCCAUGACGGUACCGUAAGAAUAAGCACCGGCUAACUACGUGCCAGCAGCCGCGGUAAUACGUAGGGUGCAAGCGUUAAUCGGAAUUACUGGGCGUAAAGAGUGCGCAGGCGGUUAUAUAAGACAGAUGUGAAAUCCCCGAGCUUAACUUGGGAACUGCAUUUGUGACUGUAUAGCUAGAGUACGGCAGAGGGGGAUGGAAUUCCGCGUGUAGCAGUGAAAUGCGUAGAUAUGCGGAGGAACACCGAUGGCGAAGGCAAUCCCCUGGGCCUGUACUGACGCUCAUGCACGAAAGCGUGGGGAGCAAACAGGAUUAGAUACCCUGGUAGUCCACGCCCUAAACGAUGUCAACUGGUUGUUGGGUCUUCACUGACUCAGUAACGAAGCUAACGCGUGAAGUUGACCGCCUGGGGAGUACGGCCGCAAGGU